CAGUAGCCGCGGGAAAACGAAGGGGGCUAGCGUUGUUCGGAUUUACUGGGCGUAAAGCGCACGUAGGCGGACUUUUAAGUCAGGGGUGAAAUCCCGGGGCUCAACCCCGGAACUGCCUUUGAUACUGGGAGUCUUGAGUUCGAGAGAGGUGAGUGGAAUUGCGAGUGUAGAGGUGAAAUUCGUAGAUAUUCGCAGGAACACCAGUGGCGAAGGCGGCUCACUGGCUCGAUACUGACGCUGAGGUGCGAAAGCGUGGGAAGCAAACAGGAUUAGAUACCCCCGUAGUCCCUGUCUCUUAUAC
rnacentral:rRNA from 1 species